UACGGAAGGCAGCAGUGGGGAAUAUUGCACAAUGGGCGCAAGCCUGAUGCAGCCAUGCCGCGUGUAUGAAAAAGGCCUUCGGGUUGUAAAGUACUUUCAGUCGUGAGGAAGGUGUUAAGGUUAAUAACCUUAGCAAUUGACGUUAGCGACAGAAGAAGCACCGGCUAACUCCGUGCCAGCAGCCGCGGUAAUACGGAGGGUGCGAGCGUUAAUCGGAAUUACUGGGCGUAAAGGGCACGCAGGCGGUUAAUUAAGUUGGAUGUGAAAUCCCCGGGCUUAACCUGGGAAUGGCAUUCAAGACUGGUUAGCUAGAGUCUUGUAGAGGGGGUUAGAAUUCCAUGUGUAGCGGUGAAAUGCGUAGAGAUGUGGAGGAAUACCGGUGGCGAAGGCGGCCCCUGGACAAAGACUGACGCUCAUGUGCGAAAGCGUGGGGAGCAAACCAGGGAUUAGAUACC
rnacentral:rRNA from 1 species